CGAAUGGGGCAACCCAGCAUGUUGAAGACAUGUUACACCGUAAGGUGAGCAAACCCGGAGAACUGAAACAUCUAAGUACCCGGAGGAGAAGAAAACAAAAGUGAUUCCGUUAGUAGUGGCGAGCGAACGCGGAUUAGCCCAAACCAUUAAUGUUACGGCAUUAAUGGGGUUGUAGGACUGCGAUAUUUGAGCUGUAAUGAAUUAGAAUCCUUUGGAAAGAGGAACCAUAGAGGGUGAUAGUCCCGUAUAAGUAAAGAACAGUAAGAUAGCAGUAUCCUGAGUAGUGCGGGACACGAGUAAUCCUGUAUGAAUCAGUCGGGACCAUCCGAUAAGGCUAAAUACUCCGA
rnacentral:rRNA from 1 species